rnacentral:rRNA from 1 species
UGGGGAAUCUUCCGCAAUGGGGCGCAAGCCUGACGGAGCAACGCCGCGUGAGUGAAGAAGGGUUUCGACUCGUAAAGCUCUGUUGUCGGGGACGAAUGUGAGGACGGCGAAUAGCCGUUUUCAAUGACGGUACCUGACGAGGAAGCCACGGCUAACUACGUGCCAGCAGCCGCGGUAAUACGUAGGUGGCGAGCGUUGUCCGGAAUUAUUGGGCGUAAAGAGCAUGUAGGCGGGCUUUUAAGUCCGACGUGAAAAUGCGGGGCUUAACCCCGUAUGGCGUUGGAUACUGGAAGUCUUGAGUGCAGGAGAGGAAAGGGGAAUUCCCAGUGUAGCGGUGAAAUGCGUAGAUAUUGGGAGGAACACCAGUGGCGAAGGCGCCUUUCUGGACUGUGUCUGACGCUGAGAUGCGAAAGCCAGGGUAGCAAACGGGAUUAGAUACCCUGGUAGU